rnacentral:rRNA from 1 species
GUAAACGUCCAAGUUGUCACAUUGAAACUGCCAGUUGUCUUCUGAUCACUGAAGUCAAGCAACUUUGAGUACGGAUAGUAGUACUUGUAUGGGUGACCGCUUGAGAACACCGUGUGAUGUUGUCU